GACGUAGGGGGCAAGCGUUAUUCGGAAUUAUUGGGCGUAAAGCGCUCGUAGGCGGGACAGGAAGUCCGUGAAGAAAGACCUGGGCUCAACUCAGGGACCGGCACGGAUACUCUUGUUCUUGAGGCAAUCAGAGGGUGAUGGAAUUCCCGGUGUAGCGGUGAAAUGCGCAGAUAUCAGGAGGAACACCAAUGGCGAAGGCAGCACUCUGGGACGUGACUGACGCUGAGACGCGAAAGCGUGGGGAGCAAACAGG
rnacentral:rRNA from 1 species